rnacentral:rRNA from 1 species
ACGGGUGAGUAAUGCAUCGGAACGUGUCCCGCAGUGGGGGAUAACGCCGCGAAAGCGGCGCUAAUACCGCAUACGCUCUGCGGAGGAAAGCGGGGGACCCGAGAGGGCCUCGCGCUAUGGGAGCGGCCGAUGUCCGAUUAGCUAGUUGGUGGGGUAAUGGCUUACCAAGGCGACGAUCGGUAGCUGGUCUGAGAGGAUGAUCAGCCACACUGGGACUGAGACACGGCCCAGACUCCUACGGGAGGCAGCAGUGGGGAAUUUUGGACAAUGGGGGCAACCCUGAUCCAGCCAUGCCGCGUGCGGGAAGAAGGCCUUCGGGUUGUAAACCGCUUUUAGCCGGGACGAAAGCUCUACGGAUAACACCCGUAGGGGUUGACGGUACCGGCGGAAUAAGCACCGGCUAACUACGUGCCAGCAGCCGCGGUAAUACGUAGGGUGCGAGCGUUAAUCGGAAUUACUGGGCGUAAAGCGUGCGCAGGCGGUUCGUUGUGUCGGCGGUGAAAGCCCCGGGCUCAACCUGGGAAUGGCCGUUGAAACUGGCGAACUGGAGUGUGGCAGAGGGGGGUGGAAUUCCGCGUGUAGCAG